rfam:Mycobacterium xenopi 3993 GMX3993.contig.9, whole genome shotgun sequence.
GGGGCUGAACGGUUUCGACUUCGCGCAUCGAAUCAAGGGAAGCGUGCCGGUGCAGGCAAGAGACCACCGUAAGCGUCGUUGCAACUAAAUAAGCGCCGAUUCACAUCAGCGCGACUACGCUCUCGCUGCCUAAGCGACAGCUAGUCCGUCAGGCCGGGAGUUCCCUCGACCCGGAUCCUGGCGUCAGCUAGAGGGAUCCACCGAUGGGUUCGGUCGCGGGACCCAUCGGGACACCACACAGCGACUGGGAUCGCCGUCCCGGCUAGUUCGCGAGACCGGGAGAUCCGAGUAAGGGCAAAGCGAACUGCGCACGGAGAAGCCUUGAGGGUAUGCCGUAGGACCCGGGUUCGAUUCCCGGCAGCUCCACCA